GUAGGAGGCGAGCGUUAUCCGGAUUUACUGGGUGUAAAGCGCGUGCAGGCGGUGGGUUAAGUUGGGUGUGAAAGCUCCUGGCUCAACUGGGAGAGGUCGCUCAAAACUGGCCGACUAGAGAGUGGUAGAGGAAGGUGGAAUUCCGGGUGUAGUGGUGAAAUGCGUAGAUAUCCGGAGGAACACCAGUGGCGAAAGCGGCCUUCUGGGCCACAUCUGACGCUCAGACGCGAAAGCUAGGGUAGCAAACGGGAUUAGAGACCCCGGUAGUCCUAGCCGUAAACGAUGUGAACUUGGCGGCGGGCGGGUAAAACCGCUCGCUGUCGCAGCUAACGCGAUAAGUUCACCACCUGGGGACUACGGCCGCAAGGUUAAA
rnacentral:rRNA from 1 species